rnacentral:rRNA from 1 species
GAUGAACGCUGGCGGCGUGCCUAAUACAUGCAAGUCGAACGAGUUCUCGUUGAUGAUCGGUGCUUGCACCGAGAUUCAACAUGGAACGAGUGGCGGACGGGUGAGUAACACGUGGGUAACCUGCCCUUAAGUGGGGGAUAACAUUUGGAAACAGAUGCUAAUACCGCAUAGAUCCAAGAACCGCAUGGUUCUUGGCUGAAAGAUGGCGUAAGCUAUCGCUUUUGGAUGGACCCGCGGCGUAUUAGCUAGUUGGUGAGGUAAUGGCUCACCAAGGCGAUGAUACGUAGCCGAACUGAGAGGUUGAUCGGCCACAUUGGGACUGAGACACGGCCCAAACUCCUACGGGAGGCAGCAGUAGGGAAUCUUCCACAAUGGACGCAAGUCUGAUGGAGCAACGCCGCGUGAGUGAAGAAGGCUUUCGGGUCGUAAAACUCUGUUGUUGGAGAAGAAUGGUCGGCAGAGUAACUGUUGUCGGCGUGACGGUAUCCAACCAGAAAGCCACGGCUAACUACGUGCCAGCAGCCGCGGUAAUACGUAGGUGGCAAGCGUUAUCCGGAUUUAUUGGGCGUAAAGCGAGCGCAGGCGGUUUUUUAAGUCUGAUGUGAAAGCCCUCGGCUUAACCGAGGAAGCGCAUCGGAAACUGGGAAACUUGAGUGCAGAAGAGGACAGUGGAACUCCAUGUGUAGCGGUGAAAUGCGUAGAUAUAUGGAAGAACACCAGUGGCGAAGGCGGCUGUCUGGUCUGUAACUGACGCUGAGGCUCGAAAGCAUGGGUAGCGAACAGGAUUAGAUACCCUGGUAGUCCAUGCCGUAAACGAUGAAUGCUAGGUGUUGGAGGGUUUCCGCCCUUCAGUGCCGCAGCUAACGCAUUAAGCAUUCCGCCUGGGGAGUACGACCGCAAGGUUGAAACUCAAAGGAAUUGACGGGGGCCCGCACAAGCGGUGGAGCAUGUGGUUUAAUUCGAAGCAACGCGAAGAACCUUACCAGGUCUUGACAUCUUUUGAUCACCUGAGAGAUCAGGUUUCCCCUUCGGGGGCAAAAUGACAGGUGGUGCAUGGUUGUCGUCAGCUCGUGUCGUGAGAUGUUGGGUUAAGUCCCGCAACGAGCGCAACCCUUAUGACUAGUUGCCAGCAUUUAGUUGGGCACUCUAGUAAGACUGCCGGUGACAAACCGGAGGAAGGUGGGGAUGACGUCAAAUCAUCAUGCCCCUUAUGACCUGGGCUACACACGUGCUACAAUGGAUGGUACAACGAGUUGCGAGACCGCGAGGUCAAGCUAAUCUCUUAAAGCCAUUCUCAGUUCGGACUGUAGGCUGCAACUCGCCUACACGAAGUCGGAAUCGCUAGUAAUCGCGGAUCAGCACGCCGCGGUGAAUACGUUCCCGGGCCUUGUACACACCGCCCGUCACACCAUGAGAGUUUGUAACACCCGAAGCCGGUGGCGUAACCCUUUUAGGGAGCGAGCCGUCUAAGGUGGGACAAAUGAUUAGGGUGAAGUCGU